rnacentral:rRNA from 1 species
GAUGAACGCUAGCGGCAGGCCUAACACAUGCAAGUCGAACGGCAGCGGGAAGGAGCUUGCUCCUUUGCCGGCGAGUGGCGCACGGGUGCGUAACGCGUAUACAAUCUACCUUUCGCUGAGGGAUAGCCCAGAGAAAUUUGGAUUAAUACCUCAUGGUAUUAUUGAUAGGCAUCUAUUAAUAAUUAAAGGUUACGGCAAAAGAUGAGUAUGCGUCCCAUUAGCUAGUUGGUGAAGUAACGGUUCACCAAGGCAACGAUGGGUAGGGGUCCUGAGAGGGAGAUCCCCCCACACUGGUACUGAGACACGGACCAG